CCCACAUGAUGUUACAAAUAUAUUUGCUACUUCAGACGCCUCCGGGCGAAUGAGACAUAUAAUUAUCACCAAGAUCUCUGAUGGG
rfam:Pichia membranifaciens NRRL Y-2026 unplaced genomic scaffold PICMEscaffold_9, whole genome shotgun sequence.